AUGCUGUUUUGAUCCCCUCAAUUUGUAUGUUCAGGCGAUUUUAGUAAUCAUUCUUCAUUAUUCGUUAGAAUUAACAGCGAAAACUUUCUUUUUGUGGAAAUAAACGAAUCAUUGGUUAACAAAGUGAUCAGCCAUAAUUAGUAGCAAAAAGAAUGGGGUGCGGAAUUUCGAACUAGUGGCUGAGAUUGGCACAAUGCACGUUUGUGUACACUGUCCACAAAUUUAAGUGUGCUAAAAUAUGAAAGUAGAUCGGGUCGGUAGUGAUCUUGUAAUUUCGGUUAGUACGAUACUGGCGCACUGUAAAAUGCUGCGGUAUAACCGGCGUGUUCAAUUAGAACAUUAAUUUCACGCGUGCAUACGUUACUUUAAGGUGUAAAAUGGGGUGUAAGUUGGGAAAAUUGGCGGCCAGUAGCACUGGCGGAGCCGGGCUUAAAACCGAAGAGCCCCCACCGCCUGCCCCGACCGAUCCACGUCUACCACUAACCGCGAGACAGAAGUAUACCAUUGUGGCGUCUUGGAAAGGAAUUAGCAGGGCCAUGGAGUCUACUGGAAUGAACAUGUUUCUCAGAUUGAAUGGCGGUAGGAUUAUCCACAGAGGUUUUUUCACGGAAGGUUACUCCCAACAAAUGAACGAUUGCCUCGGCGCCUUUUGACAACAACCCAAAAAAACGUCGAACCCCAAACGUGGUAAGUAUUUCUUCUGCACAGCAGCUUCGCUUUAUAUUUAGAACUUGAUCCAAAACCAAAUUUUCAGGAAAACAUAAACCAUAUAAACCCAAAAAUAAAAUGGACUUGGCAACAAAUCCCUUUUCAAAAAACCGUCUAAUCGAACUCAAAUUUCAAAAAACAACUCUUGUUUGCCAUAAAUUAGCAACAAAUUCUACGGCGUAAUUCGUUUCACCGCAGCCGUCUUUUCGCUUUCGUAGCUAUCAAGGAAGUAUUGGUGCUUAUCUAUUGGAAAUUUUGAGUUCCUUCAAGGAUUUAUAGUGGUAUAAAAUUGAAUA